UAAUUCUGUCUCAAGAGACCAAACUUCUUCAAUCUGAAAUGCUGCAGUGUUGAUCUUUAGUGGCUGAAGCCCUACUCUUUUUCCUUACAAUUCGUUUCUGUAUUUCCAUUAUCACAGAAACCAUUCUCUUUUCCUUGCUCUUUUGCAUUUUCUUCAGGUGAUGAAUCCUUUUCUUUUGCUUUUUCUUCAGGUGAUGAAUCCUUUUCUCUUGCUUCUUCUUCAGCUUUCAAUCUGGCGUCCUCUUUUGCCUUCUCAAGCCCUGCUAUUAGUCCCUCCAAGCAAACCUUGUUGUCUCCAGGAAGAGUCUUUGGCAUUAAAUGCUCCGCCACUUCAGCGGGAGUCAUUUUGGUUUCUCCCAGCAACUCUUGGAUCUUGGAAUACAAGUGGUGUGUUUCAAGCCGAAG
rnacentral:lncRNA from 1 species